UGUUAGAAAAACUAACACAUGCUCUUAGAAUGUCAAAAGGGAAAGCCAAACCGGACACUUUCUUUGCAGCACGGAACCUUUUCAUUAAAUAUAUCACAGGAUUGGCAGGAAAGUUCAAACCGAAAGGACAUUUCCCAACGUUUUUCAAGGAUAGAAACUCAAGAAUUAUACAAAUUCUCCACAGAAGCUGGCAUUUGGAAAAGUCGUCCUUGUCUACAACUAGCAUGUUCAGUACGAGACCCCUGCCUUCCAUAGAGAGGAGCUUCAUCAUUUUUCAUUCAACCUAAAGAUUUCAUCAACAGUUUUGUGCAUCAAUCAUCCAACCACUUGAUGGACAUUCCAUAAAUUAGAGCCCACCACCAAGAACCCUCUGUCCAUGGUGGUGUCGGAUUAAUUUGAAAACUGAUCUUCAAGGAUGAUCUUAAGGAACCAAAGGAGCUUACAACCUAAACUUCGAAAA